rnacentral:rRNA from 1 species
AGUGAACGCUGGCGGUAGGCCUAACACAUGCAAGUCGAACGGCAGCACAGUAAGAGCUUGCUCUUACGGGUGGCGAGUGGCGGACGGGUGAGGAAUACAUCGGAAUCUACUUUUUCGUGGGGGAUAACGUAGGGAAACUUACGCUAAUACCGCAUACGACCUACGGGUGAAAGCAGGGGAUCUUCGGACCUUGCGCGAUUGAAUGAGCCGAUGUCGGAUUAGCUAGUUGGCGGGGUAAAGGCCCACCAAGGCGACGAUCCGUAGCUGGUCUGAGAGGAUGAUCAGCCACAGUGGAACUGAGACAAGGUCCAGAGUCCGACGGGAGGCAGCAGUGGGGAAUAUUGGACAAGGGGCGCAAGCCUGAUCCAGCCAUACCGCGUGGGUGAAGAAGGCCUUCGGGUUGUAAAGCCCUUUUGUUGGGAAAGAAAAGCAGCAGGUUAAUACCCCGCUGUUCUGACGGUACCCAAAGAAUAAGCACCGGCUAACUUCGUG